rnacentral:tRNA from 1 species
GAAUUAAGGUAUCCAGAAAGAAGCUUCUAACUUCAUCUCUAAGCAGUGAAACUCUGUUUUUAAUUCU